GUGUUGGACAUUUUGCAAACUAUGCAACGUUGCACUGCUGUGGACCGCUCUGCACCAACUCUAAUGUGUACUCUUGGAGUUUCCCAUGCAAUUUAUAAACAGUUUGGUUUAGAA